UACGUAGGGGGCAAGCGUUGUCCGGAAUUAUUGGGCGUAAAGAGCGCGUAGGCGGUCCGAUAAGUCGGCUGUGAAAUCCCGGGGCUCAACCCCGGAACUGCAUCCGAUACUGCCAGACUAGAGGACUGGAGAGGUGACUGGAAUUCUCGGUGUAGCAGUGAAAUGCGUAGAGAUCGAGAGGAACACUCGUGGCGUAAGCGAGUCACUGGACAGUAUCUGACGCUGAGGCACGAAGGCCAGGGUAGCGAAAGGG
rnacentral:rRNA from 1 species